GCUUAAGUAGUUUAUUUAGAAUUUCAAUUUGUGGAGUUGAGGGUAUUAUUUAUAAUCUUAGGCU
rnacentral:tRNA from 1 species